rnacentral:rRNA from 1 species
UCGGGAAUUUUGGGCAAUGGGCGAAAGCCUGACCCAGCAACGCCGCGUGAAGGAUGAAGUAUUUCGGUAUGUAAACUUCGAAAGAAUAGGAAGAAUAAAUGACGGUACUAUUUAUAAGGUCCGGCUAACUACGUGCCAGCAGCCGCGGUAAUACGUAGGGACCAAGCGUUGUUCGGAUUUACCGGGCGUAAAGGGCGCGUAGGCGGCAAUUCAAGUCAUCUGUGAAAUCUCCGGGCUUAACUCGGAACGGUCAGAUGAUACUGCUUUGCUAGAGUGCAGAAGGGGCAAUCGGAAUUCUUGGUGUAGCGGUGAAAUGCGUAGAUAUCAAGAGGAACACCUGAGGUGAAGACGGGUUGCUGGGCUGACACUGACGCUGAGGCGCGAAAGCCAGGGGAGCAAACGGGAUUAGAUACCCCCGUAGUCCCUGAGCGGGCUGGCAAGGCGCAU